UAUUUCCUUCUAAGUACUAAUCUUUAGGGGUUUUUUCCUUAAGAAUGUUAAGAUUUUCAUCUGUUGAAAGUUAAUAUGUACUAGAGUGGGGCUGGAGCAAUGGUUCAUGAGUUGAGAGCAUGAACUGCUCUUCUAGACAACCCUAGUGGGUCACAGCUGCCUAUAACCCAAGCUCCAUGAGCUCUAGUGCUCUCUUCUGACCUCCAAGGGCACCAGCACACAUGUGACGCACACUAGACACAUAAUGUCCAAAGGACAAAAAGCAGUAACAUCCUUGGCUAUGACAGUUGCUUGUUUUACUAUGUUCCUCCUUUCCUUAUUUUUGCCAUUAAUAGCACAUGAAGCAAAGGAAACAUUAUUUGCGUCCCUGUUUAUAUAAUAUAGAUUGUAUAAUAAUUGAUCUAUAUAAAGAUAAUCAUAUCCUGAAAUUCUCAUGGUUUGAUAUUUAAUUGUUGGUGUUUGGUAAUUUCGUUUCAUGUUAAAGCAGAUUUUAGUGGAAAACAUCAUUUGGCUAAAAUAUCUUUGCACUGUUACAUGGUAGAAUAUGAUCACAUUAGCCUCUGAAUUAUGCCUCAUCAUGGUUUAAAACAUUUUUAGUUUUCAUUCUUUUGCCACAGCACAGUUCUUAAGUUACUGUCAUUUAAGUGGCUUGCCAUAAUAUCAGUACUAUAGUCCCUAUAUAACACUGGAAGCCUGUAGAUGACUGAGGACUACUGGGUAAUCACCUGCCCCAAGGCUCCCUUAAUUUUUCUGCUUUCCUUCAGAGUUCUAAGCUUUCAAAGAGUCAGUUGUGAAUGUACUCAGUCACAAAGGCCCACUAAAUUUGUUUCAUUUAUUUAACUGAUUUGUUAUGCAAUUGUGAAGAAAUUAAAGUGUAAAACCAGAGUUGUUCUGAGAAAAAAAAGUCAUUUUCUUCAGUGGUGCUAAAUUUGUGUGGGCAAAUCUGUAGAAAGAUAAUGAAGUCAUGUACUUUAUAUUCUGAUAUUCUCAAGAAUAGCUUGAUAGUAGCCGGGCAUGGUGGCACAUGCCUUUAAUCCCAGCACUCAGGAGGCAGAGGAAGGUGGAUUUCUGAGUUCGAGGCCAGCCUGAUCUACAAAGUGAGUUCCAGGACAGCCAGGGCUAUACAGAGAAACCCUGUCUCAAAAAACC
rnacentral:lncRNA from 1 species